GACGAACGCUGGCGGCGUGCCUAACACAUGCAAGUCGAACGGAGAUACGAUUUCGGUUGUAUCUUAGUGGCGAACGGGUGAGUAACGCGUGAACAACCUGACUCUCAGAGGGGGAUAACACUCGGAAACGGGUGCUAAUACCGCAUAAGACCACGACCCGGCAUCGGGAUGAGGUCAAAGGAGCAAUCCGCUGAGAGAGGGGUUCGCGUCCCAUUAGAUAGAUGGCGGGGUAACGGCCCACCAUGUCGACGAUGGGUAGCCGAGCUGAGAGGCUGAUCGGCCACAUUGGGACUGAGAUACGGCCCAGACUCCUACGGGAGGCAGCAGUGGGGAAUAUUGCACAAUGGGCGCAAGCCUGAUGCAGCGACGCCGCGUGGGGGAUGACGGCCUUCGGGUUGUAAACUCCUUUCGCUAUCGACGAAGCCACCUUGGGUGGUGACGGUAGGUAGAUAAGAAGCACCGGCUAACUACGUGCCAGCCGCCGCGGUAA
rnacentral:rRNA from 1 species